AUUGAACGCUGGCGGCAGGCCUAACACAUGCAAGUCGAACGAGUGGCGGACGGGUGAGUAAUGUCUGGGAAACUGCCCGAUGGAGGGGGAUAACUACUGGAAACGGUAGCUAAUACCGCAUACCAUCAGAUGUGCCCAGAUGGGAUUAGCUAUUUGGUGGGGUAACGGCUCACCAAGGCGACGAUCCCUAGCUGGUCUGAGAGGAUGACCAGCCAAACAGGACCUGAGACACGGUCCAGACUCAUACGGGCAGGAGCAUUGGGGAGUAUUGCCCAGUGGGCGCAAGCCUAAUGCAGCCAUGCCGCGAGUAUGAAUAAGGCCUUCUGGUUUUAAAGUACUUUCAGCGGGGAGGCGUUACCCGCAGAAGAAGCACCGGCUAACUCAGUGCCAGCAGCCGCGGUAAUAC
rnacentral:rRNA from 1 species